CCCAUCACACAACACAAUACAGAGCAAGGAACCAUAUUUGGCAACCUUAACACACUAAGGACAAUUUUUUACACCAAGUAAAACCACAGAAAUAUUUUGCUUUGCAAGUACCACAGCUUUUGUUACCUCCUUUUGCAAUCACGGUUUAGUUAGUAAUACUGCACAGUGGAACCUUGGUUAGCAUCAUUAAUUUGUUUUAGAACUAACCAACUCUAACCAAAACAGAUGUUAACCGAAUACAUUUUUCCCAUUAUAAAUAAUGUAAAUCGAAUUAAUUCCUUCCAAAAGCCAAAAAUGUUAACACAAAACACGUUUUUAUAGUUUCACAUGCAGAAAACAAUUUGAAAUGCACAGAGACACAUAUGAAUGAUGAAUGAAUGGGAUAAAUGAACAUUUAAGGUUAAUUUCACCUUCAUUGAAGACCUGAUUUUUGACGUGACUGAAAACAGGAAGGUGGUGGUGGUGGUUGAUCUCGCUGCCACAUCAUGUUUUUGGGAACAGCCACAUCUUCAAUAAAGCUAAAAGUACACUUAAAUGUUAAUUUAUUCUUUUCAUUUGUCAUUUAUAUGUAUUUAGAAUUGUUUUAUGAAUGUACAGUAAAACUAGAAUCGUAAAACUAUAAAAAUAUGUUUGCAUUAACAUUUUUGAAUCAACUGCUGAUGACACCAGAGAGUUCGGUUCCAGUUGCCAUUUUGUUUAACUACGCAGCUAAUAGGAUGCUAACAAGGAAGGACAUUUUAUGAUUUAAACAUACAUUAAGAACACAGUUCGACUCACGCAGUGUAUUAACCACACGACAAAAUCUGAAUGCAUGCAAACUGAGGAAAAAUUGGGGCGUAAUUUUUUUUUGUUAACCAAAAAACACGCUAACUGGGGCGGACGCUAACCAUGGUUCCACUGUGUGUGGUUUGUACUCACAGUUAAUUGGCUUGUGGCAUAUAAAGUGAGUUAAACAUAACAUUUCAGGGAAGGAAAAUGUCAUUUGAAGCCUAUGGUUAAUAAGUGUGUAUUUUUACAAAUACAGCGGUAUAAGGUGUCAUCCCAUAGUGUGUUACACCAUUGAAUAUCAUGAGGAUGGUCAAAGAGCAUAUCAUACUAUAGUCAGUAAUACAAGUCAAUAAAUAUGAAUUAACCAUAUCAUAAAAUAUAUAAAACAUUAUAAAUAUAUAAUUACAAGUCAGGAGCUCUGGAAGAUCUGGGUUCGAAUCUCCAUUGGGGAUCUCUGUGUGGAGUUUUCAUGUUCUCUCCAUGCGUGCAUGGGUUUUCUCCAAUUACUCCGGUUUCCUCUCAUAUGUCCAAAAUGUCAUGUUCUGCAUUCUGCUCUGCUGCCCUCUGCUGUUUUUGUGUUGCAGCACAUCCCUGAACAUGACCCAGACCUAAUCACACACACCUGCAGCUCAUUACCUCCUCCCUUCUUAAGCUGCAGCCAAACAAUCUACCGGUGCCAGAUUGUACUCCUUGACUUCCUGACCUCCUGUUCCUUGCUCCCGCUCAGUCCGGCUCCACUACCCUUACCCUGCUUUCUGGCCCACUAUCUGUGCUUGUGCUUACCUGCUCUGUACCUUGUUAGUAUUUUCCUGUUGGUUUGCCUUCAGCGUUUUCUGUUGUACUUCUAGUUUUUUCCCUGACAGCCUUCUGCUGUCAGUGUUUUUUGUUUGUUACCCAAAGUGGAUUUUCCUUUGUUGUACUUUACCUGUUUGGACACUUUUUGUUAUUAAACUUUAUUUUGUAUUUUGAAGUCGCACUAGUCUUGCAUUGGGAUCCUAAUUUUCCUGCUGUGGCAUCCGCCACUCGUGACAGAACAAUCUGGCCAAGAUGGAUCCCGCAGACAUGGAGCACUUCCGCUCGGCCCUGGCGCAUCAAGGCCAACUAGUCGGUGGUCACGAGAAGUCACUCCAAGGCAUCAUGGAGGCUAUAUCCGUGCUAUCCGCUGGCAUGGAUGCCCUAAACCAACGCCUUGCCAGUACCUCCUCUCACCCGCCACCAGAGGUCGGUACGUCCCCGCACACCUUGGACCCACCUAACGGCGCAGCUGCAUACGCACCUGUGCCUAAUCAGCCGCAUGAGCCAAAUAUCCCUCAUCCUUCUCGCUUCUCUGGAGACUCGGACUCCUGCAACCAGUUCUUACACCAGUGUUCCCUCGUGUUUGACCAGCAACCCACCACGUACUCAUCGGACCAAUCUAAGGUAGCGUUCAUUAUGAGUUUACUCUCGGGUAGAGCCGCUACGUGGGCUAUGGUGGCGAGCACGUCUAUGCCUGCCAUACGCACCUCCUUACCCAUGUUUCUCGAAGAAAUUAGACGUGUGUUUCAUCACCCCAUUCGGGGAAUGGAAGCAGCUAGUCAGCUAUUAGAUAUGAAGCAGAGAGGACGCCCAGUGGCGGAUUUUUCUAUUGACUUCCGUGUACUUGCUGUAGAGAGCGGGUAUCCCGAUACCGUCCUUCGAAGUAUUUUUCGCAAGGCACUCGACGCACACAUUAAGGAUGAGUUAGUGGCUAAGGACAACACUACUUCCCUCAACGGCCUCAUUAACUUGGCUAUUGAAUUAGAGAAUCGCAUGAAGGAAAGGGUGAGAGAGUACGCCAAGGAGGGAUACUACGGCAGGGUGUCGAUCCCGACAAGGAUACCAUUCCCACCUCCGGAGGGACAGACGCCCGAACCAGGCAUCGGGGACGCUGUGGCCGCACCGCCAGAGGUUCCUAUGCAACUCGGAGGACGACGCCUCGCCGCCGAGGAAAGAGCACGUCGUCGCAAGUUGGACCUGUGCCUCUACUGCGGUAAUCCGGGGCAUCGACUCCUCCAAUGCCCCAUCCGACCCCAUCGCCUUCAGGGAUCGACUCCUGGAUCAGCAGCGGAGCCGAAGCCAAGACCCAGGAGCACCCAACCUGUUCCGGAGGACAGUCCAGUCAUGGGGAGCUGUGAGUAUCUCCAGAACUCAGUCACUACUGCAGAGGAAGUCCCCCUCAAGAGACUUCUAAUUCAGGGAGUAGUCAUUAACAAGGGUAGUAGCAUCGACAUAGCCGCCCUCAUUGACUCGGGCGCUGAUGACUGUUUCUUGGACACAGCGUUUGUUCUCAAGAAUAAUAUCAGUAUGAUUAAGUUGCCUGCUAGUAAAGAGGUCUGGUCCUUGGAUAGACGCUUCCUGGCGGCCAUUACACACCAAACCGAACCGCUUACUCUCCAUCUCUCAGGUAACCACUCCGAAACCAUCCGCUUUUAUGUCAUGCCCUCCCAGUCCGCGCCACUAGUUUUGGGGCUAACCUGGCUUAAGCUUCACAAUCCUCUCAUAGAUUGGAACAAGUUGCACGUCUCCAGUUGGAGCCCCUUUUGUCAUGCUAACUGUCUCCGUUCAGCUAGGUCCGAUGUUCCCUCUUCCAAUCCCCCAGAGGAGGAGAUAGAUCUGACAGGUAUUCCUAGCGAAUACCACGACUUAAAGCAAGUGUUCAGCAAGGACCGUGCUCAAACAGUUCCCCCUCAUCGACCAUACGACUGUGCCAUAGAAUUACUGCCUAACGCCACCUUUCCGAGCGCUAAAUUGUAUAACAUUUCCACUCCAGAACAAAAGGCGCUCAAGGAAUAUAUAUCUUCUUCGCUAGCAGCCGGUCUUAUUCGACCCUCUUCCUCGCCACUUGGGGCGGGUUUUUUCUUUGUCGCCAAAAAGGACAAAUCCCUUCGACCCUGUAUCGACUACCGGGGGCUCAAUAGCAUUACGGUCCGCAAUAGCUAUUCCUUGCCACUCAUGGAUUCUGCCUUUUCCGCCUUACAUUCAGCACGCAUUUUUUCCAAAUUAGACCUCCGCAACGACUACCAUCUGGUACGCAUUAAGGAUGGAGAUGAGUGGAAGACCGCGUUUAACACACCGCUGGGGCACUUCGAAUAUCUGGUUAUGCCUUUUGGGCUCACGAACGCCCCGGCGGUGUUCCAAAACCUCAUUAAUGACGUCCUCAGCGACAUGAUAAAUCAAUUCUGUUUUGUAUAUCUAGAUGACAUACUUAUCUUUUCCAGGAAUCUGCAAGACCACAUCACUCAUGUCCGACUAGUUCUCCAGCGAUUAAUGGAGAAUAGACUCUAUGUGAAGGCAGAGAAGUGCGACUUUCACGCCACUUCGGUGCCAUUUCUGGGGUACAUUGUGGAGAAGGGUCAGCUACGUGCCGAUCCCGCCAAGAUCCAGGCGGUGGUCGAGUGGCCUACUCCUAAAUCAAGGAAGCACUUGCAGAGGUUCCUCGGGUUCGCCAACUUCUACAGGCGAUUCAUACGUAAUUUCAGCAGCAAGGCAGGACCUCUGACUAGGCUUACAUCACCAAAAAUUCCAUUUGUAUGGACCCCAGAGGCUAAUUCUGCGUUUAACACACUCAAAACAUUGUUUACAUCCGCUCCGGUUCUGGUACAUCCUGAUCCUAACUUACAAUUUUCUGUUGAGGUUGACGCUUCUGAUACGGGAGUGGGAGCCGUCCUGUCCCAGCGGUCCCCGGUCGACCAGAAACUGCAUCUUUGCGCCUUCUUCUCGCGUCGCCUCACACAGGCUGAAGGGAACUACGAUGUGGGCAACAGGGAGCUGUUGGCCAUCGUUCUCGCGCUGCGGGAGUGGCGGCACUGGCUGGAGGGUGCAGUUCAUCCAUUCAUAGUUAUCACCGACCACAAGAACUUGUCCUACAUCAGAACCGCCCAGAGACUUAAUGCCAGACAAGCCCGUUGGUCACUGUUCCUAACACGCUUCAAUUUUUCCAUCACCUACAGACCCGGAUCACGCAAUAUUAAACCCGACGCCCUUUCCAGAGUCUUCAGUUCCACGGAGGAGGGAACAGCGCCGGAGACCAUCAUACCUGUGGCCCGGGUGUUAGGCGCGGUUCGGUGGGAGGUGGAGAAGGUGUCGGAGGCAACUGAAGGGGAGGAGCCUCCAGAGGGUUGUCCGGCUGGCAAAUUGUUUGUCCCAGAGACACUAAGAUCGGACGUAUUGCAAUGGGGUCAUGCAUCCAGAGUUACCUGUCACCCAGGAACCAGACGAACUCAGCUGGCUUUAGCGCAGAGGUUUUGGUGGCCCUCCAUGGCGGCGGAUGUAAAGGAGUUCGUCGCGGCCUGCUCUGUCUGCGCCAGAAAUAAGUCGUCCAAUCGACCUCCGGCGGGCUUGUUACAACCGUUGCCCAUCCCGACCCGUCCCUGGUCACAUAUAGCGAUGGACUUCGUCACCGGACUACCUCCUUCCAGAGGAAACACCACAAUCCUGAACAUUGUUGACCGGUUUUCCAAGAUGGUACAUUUUAUAGCAUUACCUGGACUACCUACUUCACUGGACACAGCUCGACUCUUGGUGAGACAUGUUUUCCGCAUCCACGGCAUUCCACUCAAUAUUGUUUCCGACAGAGGACCCCAAUUCACUUCCAAGGUGUGGAAGUCCUUCUGCAAGUUACUCAGGGCAUCGGUGAGCCUAUCAUCCGGUCACCAUCCACAGACCAACGGCCAGACAGAGCGGGCCAACCAGGACCUCGAGGCGGCCUUACGCUGCGUCUGCCACCGACACCCGUCAUCCUGGUCCAUCCACCUCCCCUGGGUGGAAUACGCGCACAACACUCUUGUCAGCUCGGCCACAGGUAUGUCACCCUUCAAAGUCGCUAAUGGAUACCAGCCUCCUCUUUUUCCGUCUCAGGAGGCGGAAGUGUCGGUGCCAUCGGUCCAAGUCCACCUGCGCCGCGCCCGAAGAGUAUGGCGGGAGACAGUAGCUGCCCUGAACCGCACGGCGGACCGUAAUCGACGCCUGGCCGACCGCCACAGAAUUCCGGCACCCGUCUACCAGGUCGGCCAGGAAGUCUGGUUGUCAUCCAGGGACUUACCGUUAGCCGGAACCAGCCGGAAGCUGGCACCCAGAUUUGUGGGACCUUACAAAAUCGACUCCAUCAUCAGUCCCUCCUCCGUCAGACUCAUACUACCACCAGCACUCAAGGUACACCCGGUAUUCCACGUCUCCUGCCUCAAGCCUGUGUCCUCCAGUCACCUGUGCCCCCCGGUCGAGUCGCCUCCUCCGCCGCGCCUGAUCGAUGGCCAUCCAGCUUACACAGUGAAGGCCAUCUUGGACUCCCGAAGGAGGGGCAGGGGGUUCCAGUACCUGGUCGACUGGGAGGGUUACGGCCCUGAGGAGCGUUCUUGGGUCUCCCGCUCCCUUAUCUUGGAUCCGUCACUCAUAAGCGACUUCCACCGUCUCCAUCCUAACAAGCCAGGAGUUCAACACCUUCUUCCACGCUUACUACAAUAAAAUUGUAACCAUGUCAGACCGCAUGGAGUUUGUGAAUGGCUGGUACAUCCUCAUCAUUGUCAGUGACACUCUUACAAUCGCCGGCUCUGCUUUUAAGAUCGGAAUACAGAUGAAGUUCAUGACGAGCUAUGACGUCUGCAGCAUCCUCCUGGGCACAGCGACCAUGCUGGUCUGGGUGGGUGUGCUUCGUUACCUUGGUCUCUUCAAGAAAUAUAAU